rnacentral:rRNA from 1 species
UACGGAGGGUGCAAGCGUUAAUCGGAAUUACUGGGCGUAAAGCGUGCGCAGGCGGUUUGUUAAGUCUGCUGUGAAAUCCCCGAGCUCAACUUGGGAAUUGCAGUGGAUACUGGCAAGCUGGAGUACGGUAGAGGAAGGUGGAAUUCCCGGUGUAGCAGUGAAAUGCGUAGAGAUGUGGAGGAACACCGAUGGCGAAGGCAGCCCCCUGGGUUAACACUGACGCUCAGGCACGAAAGCGUGGGGAGCAAACAGG